rnacentral:rRNA from 1 species
AUACGGAGGGUGCAAGCGUUACUCGGAAUCACUGGGCGUAAAGCGCGCGCAGGCGGUCUUUUAAGUUGGAUGUGAAAGCCUACGGCUCAACCGUAGAACUGCAUUCAAAACUAUUAGACUAGAGUGUGGGAGAGGAAGAUGGAAUUAGUUGUGUAGGGGUAAAAUCCGUAGAGAUAACUAGGAAUACCAAAAGCGAAGGCAAUCUUCUGGAACACUACUGACGCUGAGGCGCGAAAGCGUGGGGAGCAAACAGGAUUAGAAACCCUAGUAGUCC